GCCCUAAGGCUAAGAUAGCUCAGUCAGUAGAGCAUAAGACACUUAAUCUCAGCGUUGUUGGUUUGAGCCCCGUGUUGGGCA